rnacentral:lncRNA from 1 species
AUGGGUAAAGAAAAGAAGAAAGCUGACAAAAAAUCAGAAAAGUCUUCACCCGCUCCACCGAUCCUUGAGAUUUCAGAGACCAAGGGAAAUGAAAGUACUUUAAAACUGGAUAGUUCAUCAGUUAACCAGCUGGAAGAAGCCCAGUCCAAUCAAAAAACUCCCAAAGAUGAGCCAAAGCCAGAGAAACUGCAGACUGAAGAUGUCAUUCAGUACUACGACGAGCCCGUACUCACCAAGCUUAUUGUCGAACGCUAUGAAGGAGAAAAAGUCCACGGGCUGUAUGAAGGAGAAGGCAUUGCGUAUUUUCAGGGAGGCAACGUAUACAGAGUGAGUUGUAACCAUAAUGCAUUCAUUAGGUUUCACUUUUACCGAGGUAGGAGAAUAGUGACAACAGACUCGUGAAAGCACACUGGCUGUAUUUCUCAGAUUUCAACUGCUGGUAUUGGUGGUUUGUUUUAAGUACUUACUAUGUGCCAAGCACUUUUCUGAGUGCUAGGGUCAGAUGCAGUGCAGUUAUAUCAAACACAGUCUUUGUCCCACGUGAGGCUCACCAAGUUGGAAGGGGAAUAGGUAUUGAAUACUGAUUUUUAUAGAUAAGUCCCAGAGAAGUUGUGACUUGCCCAGAGGUCACACAGCAGGUAAGUGGCAGAACUGAAAUUAGAACCCCGUUCCUCUCACUCCUAGGCUCGUGCUUGCUCUAUCCUCUAGUGUCAGGGUUUUCCUAACUGUCCUAUGGCACUUUGUAUAAAUGGUUUGCUUUCUAUCAGAACCCUGAGUUCCGACCUGUAGGUAGCCUGCUAGUAUUAACGCCUGUCUCCCCCACCUUUAGACUGUAAGCUUGCGGGGGGACAGGGAAUUUGUCGGUUUAUUGUUAUAUUGUACUCUCCCAAGCCCUUACUACAGUGCUCAGCACACAGUAAGUGCUCAGUAAGUACAAUUGACUGAUUGACUUGUAUCUACCCCUGUGUUUAGAACAGUGCUAGACCCAUAGCACUUAAUAAAUAAAGAAAUAAAUAAUGGUUCAUGCAGGUUUGACUGAAUGUAAUACAUGCUGAAGCCUUUCUUUUCAGUUAGCAGAGUGGUGUACUACUCAUGGAGCUUAUUGAAAACGAAAGGAUUUCUCACUGUUGGUUGUUUUUGGAGAUGCCCGUGAGAAAUGCCAGGAAGAAGUCUCUCAAAUAAGCAGUGAAACUUUCUAAGACACAAGAUCCUAUCUGACUCUGGGCAUUCUUGAUAGCUUCUAGCAUUUGGGUCAGAUUGUCAAGUCUGCAUAGGCCCGUUGAUAGUUGUUCCAACUCCAACAUUUAGCCUCCAAGAAAGGGAAAGAAGAUGUUGAAAGAGAAAAAUCUUGGUCCAUAGAGAGCUGUCCAUUUUCAAAAUUCUUGGUUCUUUUUGGUCUUACUGCAUUUGAUUUUUCUAAUAAUUGGAUCUUUGGAUCCUUUUAUGUAGUGUUUUCCAAAUGGCCAUAACACCCAAAACUCUGUGUUUUAAGACUUAUAGAGAAGUUAACAGGAAUAUAUUUUCUUGGCGCUUUCAUAUCUGAG